CGUAGCUGGCACACCUUCCACCGAGUAACAACAACCACCGCCACGUUGGCCACCGCCGCCGCCGUUAUCACCACUCAACCCAAGCAACAAAAACCACAUUCCUUCACUCACAAAAACCUAUCCUCAUUUCCACUAUGUCCACAGCAUCUCCAUCUCCCUCUCCUCCACCUCCAUCAGAGCCACCAUCACAGUCACCACCCCCAAACUCCAGACCCCUCUCCACCAAGAAAUCGCAUCCGGUCCCCUGGACCCACCAAGAAACAGUCCACCU
rnacentral:misc_RNA from 1 species